rnacentral:rRNA from 2 species
CGUGCGGGCGUGCUAUACAUGCAGUCGAGCGGACGGAUGGGAGCUUGCUCCCUGAAGUCAGCGGCGGACGGGUGAGUAACACGUGGGCAACCUGCCUGUAAGACUGGGAUAACUUCGGGAAACCGGAGCUAAUACCGGAUAAUGCACAGCCUCUCAUGAGGCUAUGCUGAAAGAUGGUUUCGGCUAUCACUUACAGAUGGGCCCGCGGCGCAUUAGCUAGUUGGUGAGGUAACGGCUCACCAAGGCAACGAUGCGUAGCCGACCUGAGAGGGUGAUCGGCCACACUGGGACUGAGACACGGCCCAGACUCCUACGGGAGGCAGCAGUAGGGAAUCUUCCGCAAUGGACGAAAGUCUGACGGAGCAACGCCGCGUGAGUGAUGAAGGUUUUCGGAUCGUAAAACUCUGUUGUCAGGGAAGAACAAGUGCCGGAGUAACUGCCGGCACCUUGACGGUACCUGACCAGAAAGCCACGGCUAACUACGUGCCAGCAGCCGCGGUAAUACGUAGGUGGCAAGCGUUGUCCGGAAUUAUUGGGCGUAAAGCGCGCGCAGGCGGUCUCUUAAGUCUGAUGUGAAAGCCCACGGCUCAACCGUGGAGGGUCAUUGGAAACUGGGGGACUUGAGUGCAGAAAAGGAAAGUGGAAUUCCCGGUGUAGCGGUGAAAUGCGUAGAGAUGUGGAGGAACACCAGUGGCGAAGGCAACUUUCUGGUCUGUAACUGACGCUGAGGCGCGAAAGCGUGGGGAGCAAACAGGAUUAGAUACCCUGGUAGUCCACGCCGUAAACGAUGAGUGCUAAAUGUUAGAGGGUUUCCGCCCUUUAGUGCUGCAGCAAACGCAUUAAGCACUCCGCCUGGGGAGUACGGCCGCAAGGCUGAAACUCAAAGGAAUUGACGGGGGCCCGCACAAGCGGUGGGAGCAUGUGGUUUUAUUUCGAAGCAACGCGGAGAAACCUUACCAGGUCUUGGCAUCUCCCGGACAACCCCUAAAAAAAGGGGGUUU